UCAGGAUGAACGCUAGCGACAGGCCUAACACAUGCAAGUCAGGGGCAGCACAAGGAGCAAUCUGAGGUGGCGACCGGCGCACGGGUGAGUAACACGUAUAGCAACCUGCCGUGUAAGCGGGGAAUAACCCGUUGAAAGACGGACUAAUACCGCAUAAUACGUAAAUUACUGCAUGGUAAUUUAUUUAAACAUUUAUGGCUUACAGAUGGGCAUGCGCAUGAUUAGCUAGUUGGAGAGGUAACGGCUCCCCAAGGCAACGAUCAUUAGGGGUUCUAAGAGGAAGGUCCCCCCACACUGGUACUGAGACACGGACCAGACUCCUACGGGAGGCAGCAGUGAGGAAUAUUGGUCAAUGGACGAGAGUCUGAACCAGCCAAGUCGCGGUGCAGGAAGAAUUGUCCUAUGGAUUUGUAAACUGCUUUUGCAGGGGAAUAAAGUGCAUCACGUGUGAUGUUUUGUAUGUACUCUGCGAAUAAGGAUCGGCUAACUCCGUGCCAGCAGCCGC
rnacentral:rRNA from 1 species